AAUGAUACUUCCGUACUUGGUACGGCUUGCCGGUGGGCGAGCUGAGGAUUUUCGGGCUGGAACAUUUGAUGUCCGUUAAUCCGCAG
rnacentral:sRNA from 1 species